rnacentral:miRNA from 1 species
UGGAUGCUCAGUCAGCGGGGGUGCU